CCUACGGGAGGCAGCAGUAGGGAAUCUUCCACAAUGGGCGAAAGUCUGAUGGAGCAACGCCGCGUGAGUGAAGAAGGUUUUCGGAUCGUAAAACUCUGUUGUUAGGGAAGAAAAUGCGUUAGCGUAACUGUUUACGUCUGGACGGUAUCUAACCAGAAAGCCACGGCUAACUACGUGCCAGCAGCCGCGGGAAUACGUAGGUGGCAAGCGUUAUCCGGAUUUAUUGGGCGUAAAGGGAGCGCAGGCGGUUUUUUAAGUCUGAUGUGAAAGUCUGCGGCUUAACCGGUGAAGUGCAUUGGAAACUGGGAGACUUGAGUGCAGAAGAGGAGAGUGGAAUUCGAUGUGUAGCGGUGAAAUGCGUAGAUAUAAGGAGGAACACCAGUGGCGAAGGCGGCUCUCUGGUCUGUAACUGACGCUGAGGCUCGAAAGCGUGGGUAGCAAACAGGAUUAGAUACCCGUGUAGUC
rnacentral:rRNA from 1 species